AACGAACGCUGGCGGCAGGCCUAACACAUGCAAGUCGAGCGCCCUUUCUGGGGCGCGGCGGACGGGUGAGUUACGCGUGGGAAUAUGCCCUUCUCUACGGCCUAGCCACGGGAAACUGAGAGUAAUACCGUAUCCGCCCUUAGUGGGAAAGAUUUAUCGGGGAAGGAUUAGCCGGCGUUGGAUUAGGUAGUUGGUGGGGUAAUGGCCUACUAAGCCGACGAUUCAUAGGUGGUUUGAGAGGAUGAUCAGCCACACGGGGACUGCGACACGGCGCAGACUCCAACGGGAGGCAGCAGUGGGGAAUCUUAGACAAUGGGGGCAACCCUGAGCUAGCCAUGCCGCGUGAGUGAUGAAGGCCUGAGGGUUGUAAAGCUCUUUCAGCUGGGAAGAUAAUGACGGUACCAGCAGAAGAAGCCCCGGCUAACUCCGUG
rnacentral:rRNA from 1 species